AUCCUGGCUCAGGAUGAACGCUAGCGGCAGGCUUAACACAUGCAAGUCGAGGGGCAGCAUGAGGGUUAGCAAUAACCUUUGAUGGCGACCGGCGCAAGGGGUGCGUAACGCGUGAGCAACUUGCCCGUUUCUGGGGGAUAACCGGUGGAAACGCCGACUAAUACCCCAUAGUAUUGAUUUCAGGCAUCUGUUAUCAAUUAAAGAAUUUCGGAAACGGAUAGGCUCGCGUGACAUUAGCUAGAUGGCGGGGUAACGGCCCACCAUGGCUACGAUGUCUAGGGGUUCUGAGAGGAAGGUCCCCCACACUGGAACUGAGACACGGUCCAGACUCCUACGGGAGGCAGCAGUGAGGAAUAUUGGUCAAUGGUCUGACGACUGAACCAGCCAUGCCGCGUGAAGGUGACGGCCCUAUGGGUCUUAAACUUCUUUUGUAAGGGAGCAAUAAGUCUUACGUGUAGGAUGAUGAGAGUACCUUACGAAUAAGCAUCGGCUAACUCCGUG
rnacentral:rRNA from 1 species